rnacentral:rRNA from 1 species
UACGUAGGGUGCAAGCGUUAAUCGGAAUUACUGGGCGUAAAGCGUGCGCAGGCGGUUUUGUAAGUCUGUCGUGAAAUCCCCGGGCUCAACCUGGGAAUUGCGAUGGAGACUGCAAGGCUAGAAUCUGGCAGAGGGGGGUAGAAUUCCACGUGUGAGACAGUGAAAUGCGUAGAGAUGUGGAGGAACACCGAUGGCGAAGGCAGCCCCCUGGG